AAUAAUACCAACGUAUAAAAUUCAGGGUGGAAACAGAAAAUCAGUUUUUGGGUUCUCUUUAGAGAACAGAGGAGUCACUCCAUUAGAGCUGAGAGAGAGGGAAUGAUUCUCAGUCUCCCAUUUGUUCUCUGGUUUCAGGUCCCCUUGUGUUUCAACUUCUACUCCAGGGGUCAAAGUGAAAUGUUCUAAUAUCUACUCGAAGGCCACUUCCUUGAUUGCUUGGUCGGCCAGGGGACUACUACUAUAAUCUGUAUUAGUAAAAUAUUCACCAAAAUGAGUUGUUCUGCGAACAACAAGCCAAUAGCUGCUCAUCGGAAGGUCCUUCUGAAACCAAGAACGGGGAAUAGGGGCAGGAGGAGGAGGAGGAGGAGGAGGAAAAAAAAGAAGCAUAAGGCAACAGGCUUGUCAGCUGUGUUUCUAGGUUUGUGAGGAUUACUGCAGACAGGGCCAAGGGGCUGUCCGGAAAGCAAGUUUUGAACGUGGAGUCAAAGAACCCUUACCAGAUGCAUCCGCUCGAGGAAGCCUUUAGCUGUCCGGAUAGGCCUGGGAGUUGUCCGGACAGCAGGCGCGAAUCUGCAGUUUCGGGACGGCUUGUAUAAAUUGAUUUUGUAGGGUUUUUUCAUAAACCCAAUUGAGAGAAGCGCCGUUUUUUGGAGAGAAAAAUCCCUAGAUAGUGAGAGAGAGCUUGAAUCAUUGUAUUUGGUGGGUAUAUCCACUUGUACUCUUCUCCAAACAUAGUGAAUUGGUCUAUGGUGCCCGUGGAUGUAGGCUUACGCCGAACCACGUAAA